UACGUAGGGACCAAGCGUUGUCCGGAAUCAUUGGGCGUAAAGAGCGUGUAGGCGGCCUGUUAAGUCUUGCGUGAAAUCUCGGGGCUCAACCCCGAGCGGUCGUGAGAAACUGGCCGGGCUAGAGUCCGGUAGAGGAGUGUGGAAUUCCCGGUCGUAGCGGUGAAAUGCGCAGAUAUCGGGAAGAACACCCGUGGCUAAGGCGGCUCUCUAGUACGGUACUGACGCUGAGACGCGAAGCGUGGGAGCGAACAGG
rnacentral:rRNA from 1 species